GUUGAACGCUGGCGGCAUGCCUUACACAUGCAAGUCGAACGGACUCAAGGGGCUUGCUCCUUGAGUUAGUGGCGAACGGGUGAGUAAAGUAUCGGAACGUGCCCAGUCGUGGGGGAUAACGUAGCGAAAGUUACGCUAAUACCGCAUACGUCCUGAGGGAGAAAGCGGGGGACCGAAAGGCCUCGCGCGAUUGGAGCGGCCGAUAUCAGAUUAGCUAGUUGGUGGGGUAAAAGCUCACCAAGGCAACGAUCUGUAGCUGGUCUGAGAGGAUGAUCAGCCACACUGGAACUGAGACACGGUCCAGACUCCUACGGGAGGCAGCAGUGGGGAAUUUUGGACAAUGGGGGCAACCCUGAUCCAGCCAUGCCGCGUGAGUGAAGAAGGCCUUCGGUUGUAAGUAC
rnacentral:rRNA from 1 species